rnacentral:rRNA from 1 species
UCUGUACAUUAUAGAAGGUAACGCCUGCCCAGUGACUAUGUGUUAAACGGCCGCGGUAUACUGACCGUGCAAAGGUAGCGUAAUCACUUGUCUUUUAAAUGAAGACUAGUAUGAAUGGCAUCACGAGAACUAAUCUGUCUCCCUCCCCUAAUCAGUGAAACUGAUCUCCCCGUGCAGAAGCGGGGAUAAUAUCAUAAGACGAGAAGACCCUGUGGAGCUUAAAAUCAAAAAUCAACUGCUUCUCCCACCUAUACUAAAGAAACAUUUUCCGCAAGCCUGAUUUAGAUUUUCAGCUGGGGCGGCUGUGGAGAAAAAUAAAUCCUCCACGAAUAUUUAUGCUGAAAGCCACCGCGAUAGGCAUUAAUAAACUUAAUUUUAAUUGACCCAAUUUUUGAUCAACGAACCA